rnacentral:rRNA from 1 species
AACGAACGCUGGCGGCGUGGAUAAGACAUGCAAGUCGAGCGGGCCAGUAGCAAUACUGGUCAGCGGCGAAAGGGUGCGUAACACGUGGACAACUUGCCGAAGAGUGGGGGAGUAGCCCGCCCGAAAGGACGGAGUUAAUACCGCAUGUGGCUACCGGUGACAUCACUGGAACGCCAAAGACCGGGGUAACCGUGGCGCUCUUUGAUGGGUCCGCGGCCUAUCAGCUAGUUGGAGAGGUAACGG